GGGAUUUUAAAGUGGAAAUCACCUUUUCAAGAUUAUUACCAUUUCUGUUGUGGUACUGGAGGCUCUAAAAUCUCUGCAUGAUGUAGUUCAGUUGAAGUGUUUUGGGUAUUCUUAGUGAUUUUAGAAAAGCCUCAUUUUGUAAAAGUAAAAUAUCAGUAAAUAUCCCAAGAUAAUUUUCAGAUAUUUUACUGUAUUAUGUGUAAACGAUUGAACGUAAAGGGAAAUAUAAACAGACUUAAAAGUCCAGGCUUAGGAGGGCACAUAAUUAUUUUAAUCCCAACACUCAGAAACCAGAGAGGCAGGCUUCUGUGAGGUCCAGGCUAGUCUGCUCUACAUAGCAGAGAAGGAGCAGCUGGAACUACAGGGUUUAUCAAAAAGAAAGCAGUAGCUCCUCCCGCCAUUGUGAGUGCCAAGUGUGACACUGCUGCAGGUCACAGUGGUGUUUUGGAGAUGUGUUUAGUUAAGAAGUAAUCUUAAAGCUUUCUAAUGUCCUAGCAAGUCCUGCUUAGCUGAGGGAAUUUUAUUUGCAUAUAAUAAAUUUUAUUCCUGACCGGUGGUCUCAGGGGGCUAAUAUUAAAGUAUUUAUCCUUCUUGUCUUUUUAAUCCUAGGUAGAGAGGUAGCAAGAGUGCUAAGCACGAUAUUACAAGUAAUGAAAAUUCUUUCAUUUGGCAAUUAUAUAUUCUUGUCAGAUCUCAAAAAUUCGUGGCUGUUUAGAAGAGAGUGGCUGGAGGAUGAAGAGAUUCUUCUAAAAUUAAAGGGAAAUGGUUUCCUAAACUACACAGCAGAGAAGGCGGUGGCCAAGCAUAUAGCAACAUGUGGGAUACAUUUUCACAGUGUCCUUAAGAAAGGGCAGGACACUCGGGGCUAGUGCAGGGGCAUUUGAAGCACACUUCCAUUUCUGGGAUCUCGUAUUUCAUUGUGUGUAAUAAGGACCUGAGAACACAGGCAGAUGCAGCUCUUCAGUUUCAUCUUGAGUUUAUUUUCCAAAUAAAAAGGGCCUGCUCUUACGGCUUCAAUCAUUUAUAUUUUCAGAAUUGCUUAGGGCACAUCUCCUACCCAGCUUUAGUGACAUUGCACUAACCCAGCUAGGGAGAAUGGGUGUGAGCCACUCCAGCCAUUUCGGUGGUUGGAUUGCAUUCGGGACUUUCCUGUAAAGGAGACGUGGUUUUUCCUUUGAACUUACCUCUGGGAUAAUCAGAAAUAACCAGAAAGCAGUCAAAGAUGAUUUUCUUUUGGAUUCCACAAAACUGUAUACUUUUUUUCCUGAAUAAGCGCCUACAGCAGAGAAUAGUUUUAACAUUUUUUUCAACAUUUUAUCUCUAGCAGAUUAGCAGAAGACACUGUCAUUGUGCUAUGGCUGGAAAAGACAGAAUACACAAAAGUAGUCCUUCAGCAGUGUUCAGGUCUCAUCACCCCACUGAGAGAUGUGCCGCCAGGGUAGCUUGCUUCUCAGAGGCUUCCUAGGCCUCGACGUAGGGCCCAGCACUCUGCCGUCAUUCCUUUAUACGGAGUGAAGGAACCCAGAGGGAACAACAUGGCGUUACAAUCCAGGGUGGAGAAAGGUUGGUUUUAGGGACGCUUCCAAGAGCUGCCUAACUUCCUUGUGGCAAUGAAACCGGCAGACAUUGUGUUCGCCAAUGGCUGAGGAACACAGGAAGUUGAGAAUUAUUGCAGAAGAGAUUUGGAGAGAUGAGAAUCAUAUGACCAGGUUGGUUCUGACUGGAACUUCCAAUCUUUUCCUCUCACUGGUUCCCAUUUUUUGUAAUCUCCUCUUCCGUGCUUCUGAGUAAACACUACAGGCUUGGGACAUGGGUCCAUGGCACCAGCACUUACCACUGAGGAGGGGCAGUGCUAGGACUCAGCGUUUUGGUCUUUUGUUGUUGUUUUUUUUUUUUUCUCCUGUCCUUAAAACACAUGCAUGUAGCAGUCAUUGACAUACCUCUGUAGACCUAGCACCCUUGGUUACAUAGGAAGUAUGGGGUAGCCUGGGCUAUAUGAGACCUUGUCCUAAGGAAGAGGGUGAUAUUUUAAAUAUAUUUCUCCAAGUAAGUUUUAUAAGUUGUAGGGGAAACUUGGACAGUUGAAAUAAGACAGUAAAGCUGGCAACAUCAGGUAAAGAAAGGUGCUUGCUCUCAGGCGGGGACCCAAAUGGUGGAAGGAGAGAACCAACUCCUACAAGCAGUUUAUGCUUCAGAGCUGAAUUGCAACAAAUUAUCUUCUGUGGCAGCAAAUUUCCAGGGCUUCACAAAUUUUAAAAACUCCUGGGAAGCAGAUAACUUUUGCUUUUUUCCCCCAUAUAUUGCAUUAGCUGUAGUGAAGCAGGGUGUCAGCCAGGAUGGGGAUAGUAGAGCCUACUCUGCUGUAGGUGUUGCCCAUAUGAUGGAACUUGUUCUGUGGCAUUGAAUAUGUUAGCCCAUUGCAUUUUAAACUUUGGCUCUUAAUUAUUUCUUACCAGUUAAAAAUACAAGUGUAACUGAAGAAGUGGGCAAGUGAGUACCAGUUGCCUUUGGUGAUAUGAUAUCAGUUUAUGAGGAAAGAUCUUGAGAAAGUAUCUCAGGUCAACCUAUGGAAUACCUUAAAGGAGCAACUAGAGAAAAUUACACCUAAUUUCCUGUCUUAGUCAGAGUUCAGUUGCUGUGAAGAGACUCUGUGACUGUGGCAACUCUCCGAAAACAUUUAAUUGGGGUAGCUUACAGUUCAGAGAUUCAGUCCAUUAUCAUGGUGGGAAGCAUGGCAGCCUGCAGGCCGACUUGGUGCUGGAAGAGCUAGGCUUGAUUCAAAGGCCGAAGAAGGAGAAUUGGGUGGCCUGCACCCACAGUGAACACAUUUCCUCCACUAAGACCUCACCUACUCCAACAAGGUUACGCUUCCUAAUAGUCCCGCUCCGGCUGACCAGGCAUUUAAAUGAGCCUUAGGGGGCCAUUCUUAUUCAAACCAGCACAUUCCCCUGUAGGAUUCUGCUUACAUUAAGUGUGCCUUUAUCCUCAGGCCCCACUGUUCUAGUGGCGCAAGGGUAGAAACACUUGGGGAUGGAGUGUAGUCAUGUAGUUGCUUGGCUAACAGCCUAACAGCCUGCUUUGGAGAAAGCUCCCUGUGUUAAAACAUGGAACUAGAACCUCUUUAUUCUAGACAUCGAAAGUUAUUGUCUAGCACCUAAUCUUUUAGAAGCGUGUAGGAACUUCUUUUUUUCCUAGCUAAAAAAGAAAACUAACAAUAGAUAUGUUGCCUCCAUGCAUGUCUGUGUGCCACAUGUGUCCCAGGUCCCUCUAAAUUCCUUGGACCUGGAUCGACAGAGAGUUGUGGGCUCCCAGGUGGGUGCUGGGAACUGAAGUCCAGUUCUUAAUCGCUGAGCCAUCUCUCCAGGCCCUGAGACAGCUCACCUUUUCAUCAGAAAAGCAGGUGCAGUGAAGGUCUGUUAAAGGCUAUAUUCACAGGCUCCUGUGUUCCUCACAGAGCUGUUAGCCACCGAGGACCCUGCCAGUUCAAGGAACGAUUACUAGUAAGGUUGCCUGGGAAUGUGAAGAAUUUUCUAUUUCUCAUAGAAUCAUUUUAUCUAGCAAUAGAAAUUAAGGCAGUGGACAAAUUAACAGGAGUCAAGAUCUUCCUUUUCAUACACUUAACUGAGCACACGAAACUGAUUUAGUGUUGCUUCAUGUUGAAGACUGGGCUCUUGAUCUUCCCACUUAUCCCUCCCAUAGUCUUCAUUGACUCAAUAAACGAACCCUUUAUUUGAAAAGAAGCUGAAGUAGGGUUUGAAACAUACCUGUGGUUGGUCUGUUACUCACUAGGUAGCCCAGGCUGGCCUUCCAGCUCAAGGUAACCUUCCUGCCUUCCCUGAGUGCUGGCAUUUCAGGUGUGUGCCACUACUCCUGGUAAAUGGCACCAUUGUUAACCCAGUUGCUCAACCAAACUCUAGGAGGUAUCCGUGAUGUCUCUUUGCUCUCCACAUCCAGCUCUAACCCUUCUUUACCUCCAGAAACACUGGGUAGGUCUUUUCCUUAUCUGACUUGUGGGCGGUAACUUCUGAAUUCCUGACUCUGCUUUGAGCAUCCAGUAAUCCAUGUUUCUCUUUCUGUCUGCAGGACUGAUUGUUUUAUGCUGGUGUGUGUGUGUGUGUGUGUGUGUGUGUGUGUGUGUGUGUGUGUGUGUGUGAGAGAGAGAGAGAGAGACAGACAGACAGACAGACAGACAGACUUUCAGCUGUGCCAUCUAUCUUCCCCCAACCCCAGACUGGGAAAUUGUGAGGAGGGCUAGGAGUUGUAGCUCAGUGUUAGAGCAUGUUCUUACCAUAUGUAAGAGCCUAGAUUCAAUUUUCAGCAUUAAAAAAAAUUCGAAUCAGGUUACAGUUACCCUGGCUUAAGACAUAGAGGCUUCCAUUGCAGUUAAUACACAAUGGGAGCUCCUUCUCAACCCCUGUGCCUGUGCCUGCGUCUGAUCUCUUACCUACAGUUCCAAGGACCAGCAACACAGGCCGUUGUUCUGUACUGUCCCUUAGGCCGAAGAGUUUCCUGUCUUGUCAUUGUCUUGUCAUUUGAGUCUUGUUCACAUGUCAUCACCUUGGAGAAAUUUCCCUAGGUCCCUUCUGUUCUCUCCUCAACUUUUCAUAGCAUCCGUCUUAAUCUGUAGUUGCUUGGUCUGAGUAUUGUUUUUCUCUGAUUAGCACUGUGAGAACCAGGACUAUGUCAGCCUGUUUUCCUCCCUUGGUGUCUGAAACCGUAAGGCCUGGCACGUAGAACAAACAGGUUGUGAGCUUGUGAAUGAACUGACUAGUUAAGGAUGAAGCUCACUCACCACUUUAGCUGGAAGUAACGAGGGCAGCAAACUAGUAAGCUAGACCUGUUGACUGUACUCUUGGAGUAAUCACUCGGAAACUGCGUAGUACCCGUUAGCCAUUGUGUAUUCCCAUAUAACUAGAUCUAAUCAUCCCUGUAUUAUCCUAAUAACAGCAUGUUGUGUUCAUAGGUUAACAGUUCUCUUUCAUGGUUAAUUACCUGUCAAUUUGCAGACAUUUUAAAUUCUUAACCUGUUUUCU
ensembl:lincRNA Gdap10 ganglioside-induced differentiation-associated-protein 10